AUGCACGCUGGCGGCGUGCCUCAUACAUGCAAGUCGCGCGAACGGACGAGAAGCUUGCUUUUCUGAUGUUAGCGGCGGACGGGUGAGUAACACGUGGAUAACCUACCUAUAAGACUGGGAUAACUUCGGGAAACCGGAGCUAAUACCGGAUAAUAUUUUGAGCCGCAUGGUUCAAAAGUGAAAGACGGUCUUGCUGUCACUUAUAGAUGGAUCCGCGCUGCAUUAGCUAGUUGGUAAGGUAACGGCUUACCAAGGCAACGAUGCAUAGCCGACCUGAGAGGGUGAUCGGCCACACUGGAACUGAGACACGGUCCAGACUCCUACGGGAGGCAGCAGUAGGGAAUCUUCCGCAAUGGGCGAAAGCCUGACGGAGCAACGCCGCGUGAGUGAUGAAGGUCUUCGGAUCGUAAAACUCUGUUAUUAGGGAAGAACAUAUGUGUAAGUAACUGUGCACAUCUUGACGGUACCUAAUCAGAAAGCCACGGCUAACUACGUG
rnacentral:rRNA from 1 species